rnacentral:rRNA from 1 species
AACGAACGUUAGCGGCGCGCUUAACACAUGCAAGUCGCACGAGAAAGGGCUUCGGCCCCGGUAAAGUGGCGCACGGGUGAGUAACACGUGGGUAAUCUUCCCUCGGGCGGGGGAUAACAUUCCGAAAGGAGUGCUAAUACCGCAUAAGACCACGGACUCGAAAGAGUCUGAGGUCAAAGCCGGCCUCUCUAUAGAAGCUGGCACCUGAGGAUGAGCCCGCGGCCCAUCAGCUAGUUGGCAGGGUAAUGGCCUACCAAGGCGAAGACGGGUAGCUGGUCUGAGAGGAUGAUCAGCCACACUGGAACUGAGACACGGUCCAGACUCCUACGGGAGGCAGCAGUGGGGAAUCUUGCGCAAUGGGCGAAAGCCUGACGCAGCGACGCCGCGUGAGUGAUGAAGGCCUUCGGGUUGUAAAGCUCUGUGGAGAGGGACGAAUAAGUGUAGCCUAAUACGUUACAUGAUGACGGUAUCUCCUUAGCAAGCACCGGCUAACUCUGUGCCAGCAGCCGCGGUAAGACAGAGGGUGCAAACGUUGUUCGGAAUUACUGGGCGUAAAGCGUGUGUAGGCGGUCUUGUAAGUCGGAUGUGAAAGCCCCGGGCUCAACCCGGGAAGUGCACUCGAUACUGCGAGACUUGAGUAUCGGAGAGGUUGGUGGAAUUCUCGGUGUAGAGGUGAAAUUCGUAGAUAUCGAGAGGAACACCGGUGGCGAAAGCGGCCAACUGGACGAAUACUGACGCUGAGGCACGAAAGCGUGGGUAGCAAACAGGAUUAGAUACCCUGGUAGUCCACGCC